UACGUAGGGCGCGAGCGUUGUCCGGAUUUAUUGGGCGUAAAGAGCUCGUAGGCGGCUUGUUGCGUCGACCGUGAAAACCCGGGGCUCAACUUCGGGCUUGCGGUCGAUACGGGCGGGCUAGAGUUCGGUAGGGGAGACUGGAAUUCCUGGUGUAGCGGUGAAAUGCGCAGAUAUCAGGAGGAACACCGGUGGCGAAGGCGGGUCGCUGGGCCGAUACUGACGCUGAGGAGCGAAAGCGUGGGGAGCGAACAGG
rnacentral:rRNA from 1 species